CGGUAGCUGGACCCACCGGGCUCUCACGAGCCGAACCCAGCCAUCAAAGUCCGUUCAGGACUUCAUCAACCCUAGCGGG
rnacentral:ncRNA from 1 species